UUUUUAGUAUAAAGACAGGAUAACAUGACAGUUAACUAGCAAUCAAGACCAUAAACUACAGUAGAUACAAACUCUUGUAAUAUAAAUUAAUUGCCAUUACAAAAAGGCAACUGCUUUAGCUCAUAAGGUACAAAAAUUGUUAACUCCAUAAAUACAAUGAAAACUAAAUGAAGUAAUACAUCACAGACUUUUUUUUCCUAUAUAGUACUUGAAUAUGCAAACCAAGACACCUGUGGCACAUUACACAGCAAAUAAGAAUCUCUGUCUGUCUGUCUGUCUCUGUCUCUCUCUGUCUCUCCCUCUCUCCCAUGUGGAUUUCUAAAAUAUGGCAAAUUCUAGAGUUACAGGGACAGGAUGCAGCGCGGAAGCAGUGAGACAGCAAGCUCCGAACUGCUAGACAAAGAAGGAGCCUUAUUGACAGUUGUAAAGCAUUAGGCGUCAGACAGAAACUUGUCAAAAACAGCUGUUGUUGGGUACUGAUUGAUAAUGUUUUCAUUCUGACGGCUGAGACACUGCAGACAGUCGUAGGUCUGAGAGGAAGCCCAACACUGGCGCACAAAUGAACACUCUCUCCCUCCCUCCCCCUCCUUCUCUGUCUCCUUCUCUCUCUCUCUCUCUCUCUCUCUCUCUCUCUCUCUCUCUCUCUCUCUCCCACUUUUACACACACACAUACACACACACAGACAGACAUACCCCCACAGACAACGGGAAGUCAUUUAACAGAUGGUUUCAGAGCAUUAAACCACAGUAUCUUAAAAAGACAAUAUUCUACAUUUAAUGAACUUGCAGGGAAAACAAUCCCUAAUGGUCAGAUUUAUUACUCUAAGACAGUGAACCACAACAGGACAAGAUGAAACAGGAACUUGAGAUCCUGGUCAUCAGAAUAGAAAGUAUGUGCUGCUCAAAUAUUACACAGUAUUAAAAAUAUUCAAGAACACCUUGGACAAAAAAUUGGGUUUCAUUUGCUACAGAGCUUUUUGAUCCAUCAUAAAAAAAGUUGAAGUUUUCAAACAUUUAAAAGGUGAUGAUUUCAUUAAAACCCACCUAUGCUAGUAAACCACAAAAACUACAUUCAAAUAACAUGAAGGGUCUGAUGUUUGUUUGUCCUCUGGAGCAGUGAUGAGGCAUUAUGUCAACCUGUCCUACAAUGCAGUGUGUGGGGAUAGUCUAUGCUGCACAAAAAGUAAGAACAUGUUUUUACUGCUCAGGUGUAUUAUAAGGGUUUCUACAGUUCAUCCACUUAAAAAAAAAAAUUUAUAAGGACCCAAAGGCCCUAAUCCAUAUUAUGGACCAAAGGCCUAGAAAAUUUAAUUUUUAAAAGCCCUCCAUCCAGAAAUCUGUUUUCAGUUUCAGGAGGACAAAAGGGGAUCAAACCCCAGAAAACCAAUACAUUUCAUUCCAUUUCAAUUCUAGAAGUUCAAUUAAAUGGAUUAAUUUUUAAUUAGUUCAAAAAUUGAAGCUGAGCCAAGAACAAAUGCAUUAACAUUUAGCCCAGAGCAAAUUGUUGAGGCCAAGUUGUCAACCUCUGAAAAUAGAGGUUUAUAAUAGAAACACUGAUAGACCCUCAUCUAAUGUGGAGAGGCACUAGCAGACCACUAAAAUACAUUAGCACUUUAUGAAUGAAUGAUACAAAUGAUCCCUUAUUUGAAAUCUUUGCCACUAACACGACAACCACUGUCAAUUUUACAUAUGUUUCAUUUGGCUGUUCUUAAUCAUUUCCAUAAUUUUGUUUUAUUUAAAAAAAAAAAAAACUUAUUUCCUUCAUUUCUAUCAAUCUUCUAAAGAUUUCUUAAAAGAAACUAUAAACAAUAAAACAACUUACUGAUAAUUUUGUUGCAGCUUGAUUUUAUGAAGAU
rnacentral:lncRNA from 1 species